CCACAGAGCUCCAGCCCCUCCUGGGGAUUUUGGGGAUCCACAGAGCUCCAGCCCCUCCUGGGGAUUUGGGGAAUCCACAGAGCUCCAGCCCCUCCUGGGGGUUUUAGGGAAUCCACAGAGCUCCAGCCCCUCCUGGGGAUUUUGGGGAUCCACAGAGCUCCAGCCCCUCCUGGGGAUUUUGGGGAAUCCACAAAGCUCCAGCUCCUCCUGGGGAUUUUGGGGAAUCCACAGAGCUCCAGCCCCUCCUGGGGAUUUUGGGGAAUCCACAGAGCUCCAGCCCCUCCUGGGGAUUUUAGGGAUCCACAGAGCUCCAGCCCCUCCUGGGGGUUUUGGGGACCCACAGAGCUCCUGGGGAUUUUGGGCACCCACAGAGCUCCAGCCCCUCCUGGGGAUUUGGGCACCCACAGAGCUCCAGCCCCUCCUGGGGAUUUGGGGACCCACAGAGCUCCAGCUCCUCCUGGGGAUUUUGGGGAUCCACAGAGCUCCAGCCCCUCCUGGGGAUUUUAGGGAAUCCACAAAGCUCCAGCCCCUCCUGGGGGUUUUGGGGAUCCACAGAGCUCCUGGGGAUUUUGGGGAUCCACAGAGCUCCAGCCCCUCCUGGGGAUUUUGGGGAAUCCACAAAGCUCCAGCCCAAGGCUUUGGCUCUGGGUGUCCCCACAAACCAAGGGGAGAAAUGCUGGCAUGGAAACCCCACAGGCUGCUCAUGGGGAGAUCAUGGAGCUGCUCAGCUCUGGGCUGUUCCCAGCACAAUUCCCAUCCCCAGCACAAUUCCCAGUACAUUCCCAUUCCCAGCACAAUUCCCAUCAGAAUUCCCAGCAAAUUCCAUCCCCAGCACAAUUCCCAGCACAAUUAAAAUUCCCAGUACAAUUAAAUCCCCAGCACAAUCACCAGCAUAUUUUCAAGCACAAUUCAAAUCCCAUCAAAAUUCCCAGAACAAUUCCACUCCCAGCACAAUUCCAUUCCCAGCCCAAUUCCCAGAACAAUUCCAUUCCCAGCACAAUUCCAUUCCCCAGCACCAUUCCAUUCCCAGCCCAAUUCUCAUCAGAAUCCCCAACACAAUCCCACCCCAGCACAAUUCCAUCCCCAGCACAAAUCAAAUCAGAAUCCCCAGCACAAUCCCCAUCAGAAUUCCCACCACAAUCCCACCCCAGCACAAUCCCCAGCACAAUUCCAUUCCCAUCAGAAUUCAAUUCUCAGCACAAUUCCAUCCCCAGCACAAUCCCUAUCAGAAUUCCCAGCAUAAUUCCAAUCCCAUCAGAAUUCCCAGCACAAUUCCAUUUCCAGCACCAUUCCCAGCACAAUCCCACCCCAGCACAAUCCCCAUCAGAAUUCCCAGCACAAUUCCAUUCCCAUCAGAAUUUCCAGCACCAUUCCCAGCACAAUUCCAUUCCCAUCAGAAUUCAAUUCCCAGCACAAUCCCAUCCCAGCACAAUUCCCAUCAGAAUUCCCAGCACAAUUCCCUCCCCAGCACAAUUCCCAUCAGAAUUCCCAGCACAAUUCC
rnacentral:lncRNA from 1 species